AUGCGCCGCUGCCCCGGCUUAACCCACAACCAUCGGUUGGGACCCGCCACUGCCCGCGAUCGGUGCAUCCUGGGCGACCCACUGCUGCCUGUGACCGUCGCAUCGACGCAUCCCAGGCGACCCACCGUGCGACGAAGCCGGCCGCCACCGCCCAACAGCUCGCUCGUGUGGAGCGGACGGGUUGUUUCCCGUAUAUAUUGUGCCUUUUUUCUGUCGCCUAACAAAUGCGGGUGCGGGUGCGGAUGGCAGAGUUUUCGUCCGCCCCUGCAAAUUGCUAACCGUACUUUUGAUGACGGUGAGUUGUUAUUUGGACAGCUAGAUCUAAAUGAAUAG
rnacentral:rRNA from 1 species